GGGGGGAGCACUGCAUCUUGGACUGUAUCCCUGGCACACUGUGCUCCCAUGCCUGAGCUGUAGGAAUCCUGCUCCAGGCCACACAACCCCUC
rnacentral:pre_miRNA from 1 species